rnacentral:rRNA from 1 species
AUUGAACGCUGGCGGCAGGCCUAACACAUGCAAGUCGAGCGGAUGAAGGGAGCUUGCUCCUGGAUUCAGCGGCGGACGGGUGAGUAAUGCCUAGGAAUCUGCCUGGUAGUGGGGGAUAACGUCCGGAAACGGGCGCUAAUACCGCAUACGUCCCGAGGGAGAAAGUGGGGGAUCUUCGGACCUCACGCUAUCAGAUGAGCCUAGGUCGGAUUAGCUAGUUGGUGGGGUAAAGGCCUACCAAGGCGACGAUCCGUAACUGGUCUGAGAGGAUGGUCAGUCACACUGGAACUGAGACACGGUCCAGACUCCUACGGGAGGCAGCAGUGGGGAAUAUUGGACAAUGGGCGAAAGCCUGAUCCAGCCAUGCCGCGUGUGUGAAGAAGGUCUUCGGAUUGUAAAGCACUUUAAGUUGGGAGGAAGGGCAGUAAGUUAAUACCUUGCUGUUUUGACGUUACCAACAGAAUAAGCACCGGCUAACUUCGUG